rnacentral:rRNA from 1 species
CAAUAAGUGCCAUUGUCUUGUAUUGGAAUGAUGGUGACGUAAAAUCUCACCAGAGUAACAAUUGGAGGGCAAGUCUGGUGCCAGCAGCCGCGGUAAUUCCAGCUCCAAUAGCGUAUAUUAAACUUGUUGCAGUUAAAAAGCUCGUAGUUGAAUUUCUGCGUUGCCCGACUCGGCUACUUGCCUUGUCUGGUUUCGCUUUUGGGGUUUUCCCCUUUUUACUUUGAGAAAAUUAGAGUGUUUCAAGCAGACUUGUGUCUUGAAUACUUCAGCAUGGAAUAAUAAAGUAGGACUUUGGUUCUAUUUUGUUGGUUUGUGAACCUUAUUAAUGGUUAAUAGGAGCAGUUGGGGGAGGGGGUAAUGGUUAACAGGAGCAGGUGGGAUUCAUAAAAUGGUUGUGCUCCUCUAUCUCGUGAAGGUGGGUUAAUUCUAUGCGGUAUCAUAGAUAUCUGUGGCAAUUCAUCACCUUAUCACAAACUUUAAUUAUUUGCCUUUCAUUCAAUUCCUAGCGGGUCCGAAAAGCAUUGAACCAAUGACCGUUUUUACUUUUCUCAUUUCUCUUUUAAACUACGUGAUGAUUGCUGAGUCUUUUUAAUCUUCUUAUGUUUUUGGUUUUAACUUAUAACUUUUUUAUUACUUGACUUGUAUUUUUAUUUUCCGGUUACACAUUUAAUUUUCUUUUUUUUUCAAUAUGUCCGAUUAGAUUGACAAUUUGGACGACACAAUUGAAAUAUUUGUUUGUAGUUCAUUUAUUAAAACGCGGGGGUUAUCCCGCUUCCUUGCUUAUGUUAAAAUAUAUUUUAG